AAGUCGUAACAAGGUAACCGUAGGUGAACCUGCGGUUGGAUCAUUAACAAAUGUAGAAGGUCUCAAAGACCUAUCUAACUCUUUGUGAAUCGUUUAUUGUCUCUGGCGAGUUUUGCUCGCCAAUUAAACUUUAUAUUAAACUAUUGUCUAAAACCUAGAAAUUUAAACUUAAACAACUUUUAACAACGGAUCUCUAGGCUCUC
rnacentral:misc_RNA from 1 species